UACGUAGGGUGCGAGCGUUGUCCGGAAUUACUGGGCGUAAAGAGCUCGUAGGUGGUUUGUCGCGUUGUUCGUGAAAACUCACAGCUUAACUGUGGGCGUGCGGGCGAUACGGGCAGACUGGAGUACUGCAGGGGAGACUGGAAUUCCUGGUGUAGCGGUGAAAUGCGCAGAUAUCGGGAGGAACACCAGUGGCGAAGGCGGCACUCUGGGCCGGAACUGACGCUGAGGAGCGAAAGCGUGGGUAGCAAACAGG
rnacentral:rRNA from 1 species